AGCGAACGCUGGCGGCAGGCCUAACACAUGCAAGUCGAACGAACUCUUCGGAGUUAGUGGCGGACGGGUGUGUAACACGUGGGAACGUGCCUUUAGGUUCGGAAUAACUCAGGGAAACUUGUGCUAAUACCGAAUGUGCCCUUCGGGGGAAAGAUUUAUUGCCUUUCGAGCGGCCCGCGUCUGAUUAGCUAGUUGGUGAGGUAAAGGCUCACCAAGGCGACGAUCAGUAGCUGGUCUGAGAGGAUGAUCAGCCACAUUGGGACUGAGACACAGCCCAAACUCCUACGGGAGGCAGCAGUGGGGAAUCUUGCGCAAUGGGCGAAAGCCUGACGCAGCCAUGCCGCGUGAAUGAUGAAGGUCUUAGGAUUGUAAAAUUCUUUCACCGGGGACGAUAAUGACGGUACCCGGAGAAGAAGCCCCGGCUAACUUCGUG
rnacentral:rRNA from 1 species